ensembl:lncRNA
CUCGCAAUGACUGAAGAAUAUGAAAAAAUUAUCCGAACCAAAGAGUUAAAUGUACAAGAGCUGACCAGAGAAACCACACAUCAGAAAGAAACAUUUGUGCAAAUGCAGAGGAGUGUAGAUGACCUGCACAAGUUACUGGACUCUGAGAAACAUAAGACUACAGAACUGGAGAAGCAAGUAAAUGCUAAUAUCCAAGAACUUGAAAAGAAAAAGAAAGACCUUGGAGAAAUGACUGAACUGAGUGCACAGAAAGAGAAGCAGAUCAACAAUCUCAUAGAACAACUGGAUGCCACAAAUAAAUCUAUGGAGGCCAUAAACAGUAAAAUGUCAGUCGUUACUGGCAGAGCAGAGGAAAUGAAGGCUGAGCUUUUGAAUAAAACUGAGGAAGCUCAACAACUAAAAGUAAUUUAUCCAUAUUUAAACCACAUUUUAUAUAGGGUCUUUUUCAAAUAUUUAUGAUUGUUACAGGAGGUUUGUCAUAAU